rnacentral:misc_RNA from 1 species
GUGGGAGCGAGGCUUGCCCGCGAUGCAGGCGCCUCGGUCUACGGUGAUACCGAGGCGAUGCUAUCGCGGGCAAGCCUUGCUCCCAC